rnacentral:rRNA from 1 species
CUACGGGGUGCACCAGUGAGGAAUAUUGCACAAUGGGGGGAACCCUGAAGCAGCAACGCCGCGUGGAGGAUGACGCAUUUCGGUGUGUAAACUCCUUUUAUAUGUCAAGAAAAUGACGGUAGCAUAUGAAUAAGCACCGGCUAACUCCGUGCCAGCAGCCGCGGUAAUAGGGAGGGUGCAAGCGUUACUCGGAAUCACUGGGCGUAAAGGACGCGUAGGCGGGUUGGAAAGUCAGGUGUGAAAUCCUACAGCUUAACUGUAGAACUGCACUUGAAACUUCUAAUCUAGAGUAUGGGAGGGGGAGAUGGAAUUAGUGGUGUAGGGGUAAAAUCCGUAGAUAUCACUAGGAAUACCUAAAGCGAAGGCAAUCUCCGGGAACAUUACUGACGCUAAGGCGUGAAAGCGUGGGGAGCAAACAGGAUUAGAUACCCGAGUAGUC